rnacentral:rRNA from 1 species
UGCGGUUAUACAAAAGUUAAAUUAAAUUUUUUUAGGGAUUAAUAAAUAAAUAAUUUAUUAAAUAAAUUAAAUUAAAAAUUAUAAAGUGAAAUUUUAAUUUAAAUAAAAUUUAUUUAUUUUUAUGAUAUUAAUAAAUUUUAUAAAAAACUAGGAUUAGAUACCCUAUUAUAAAAAUUUAAAUAUAAUAAUCUUAAAAUAGUAUAUAAUUUUUUAUAGAAACUUAAAUAAUUUGGCGGUAUUUUAGUUCAUUUAGAGGAAUCUGUCUAAUAAUUGAUAAUCCACGAUUAAAUUUACUUAAUUUUUUAAUUUUGUAUAUCGUUGUUAAAAAAAUAUUUUUAAAUAAUAAUAAUAUUUUAAAAUUUUAAUUUGAAUUUAAAUCAGAUCAAGAUGCAGAUUAUAAUUAAGAAUAUGAUGGAUUACAAUAAAUUUUAUUUAUUUUGAAUAUUAAUUUGUAAUAAAUUAAUUGAAAUUGGAUUUAAAUGUAAUUUUAUUAAUUUUGUUAAAAUGAUUAAAAAUUAAAAUAUGUACAUAUUGCCCGUCGCUUUCAUAUAUAAAUUGAAAUAAGUCGUAACAAAGUAGAGGUACUGGAAAGUGUUUCUAGAAAGAU